rnacentral:tRNA from 1 species
GAGGGUAUAGCUCAGUGGUAGAGUGCACUUAGCAUGCACGAGGUCCUGGGUUCAAUCCCCUGCACCUCCA